AGACCCAUCGAAAGAGAAAAAGGGUCAGACGAAAGGAAGAAGAUGGAGACUGCGGCGAUUUUAGGAGGAGGGACUCCAUGUGUCUUCUCAUCUUCUUUACUUCACUUACCAGCGUCUUCAAACAGAACUGCGUGCAGCUUAUGGUGCGCCCCAAACAAGCUUAUACUAAGCACCUCCACCAGUCAACUAUCAGCAUUCCGUUCACAGUCCCAUCUUUUUUCAAAUUACCCGACUACUACUCCUCCUCCUCCUCCUCGUUCCAAAACCAGUGCCCGUAACUCCACCCAAACUGGCAUCUUCCUCCCCCACUUGGUCGCGUCCAUGGAGCAAGUGGAAGAGACCUACAUCAUGGUUAAGCCCGACGGUCUACAGCGUGGUCUUGUUGGAGAAAUAAUUUCAAGAUUUGAGAAGAAGGGGUUUAAACUGACUGGCUUGAAGCUCUUCCAGUGCCCCACAGAAUUGGCAGAGGAGCAUUAUAAGGAUCUCAAGUCCAAGCCAUUUUUCCCUAAACUGAUCGAGUAUAUUACAUCAGGCCCAGUUGUCUGUAUGGCUUGGGAGGGUGUUGGUGUUGUUGCCUCAGCGCGGAAGCUAAUAGGGUCUACAGAUCCUCUUAAAGCUGAACCAGGCACCAUACGAGGGGAUCUUGCUGUUCAAACGGGAAGGAAUGUGGUCCAUGGCAGUGACAGCCCUGAGAAUGGCAAGCGUGAAAUAGCUCUCUGGUUUAAAGAAGGUGAACUGUGUGAAUGGACACCAGCUCAGGCACCAUGGUUGAGAGAAUGAUCUUUCAGUGAUUCUUGAUCAGUAGUCAGGCUGAAAUUCUGGAGGUCUCUCUUUCUUCAAUAUUUUGUUGUACCUCAUUUUUUGCUACGUACAAAUUCAGUGGCCAAUUUAAAUCAUACAUUCACAAGUACUGUUAUACCGUAUAGAGGUUGAGAUUAUGGCAACUUUUGUAUUCUUGCAUUUUCUUGGGAGUUUAAUUCAAACACGCAGUCCAACAGUAGUAUUGUUUCCCUCCUCCUGUCUGGAAACAGUUUUUAGUUAGAAUUUGGGUUUGGAUUGAGAAGAUCAGAUUUGAAGAGGAUAGAUUCUGGUUGGUUCGGAUCUGAAUUUGGUGGUUCAAUAACUAGAAUUAUUGAUGAUGA